AGUGAACGCUGGCGGUAGGCCUAACACAUGCAAGUCGAACGGCAGCACAGUAAGAGCUUGCUCUUACGGGUGGCGAGUGGCGGACGGGUGAGGAAUACAUCGGAAUCUACUUUUUCGUGGGGGAUAACGUAUGGAAACUUACGCUAAUACCGCAUACUACCUACGGGUGAAAGCAGGGGAUCUUCGGACCUUGCGCGAUUGAAUGAGCCGAUGUCGGAUUAGCUAGUUGGCGGGGUAAAGGCCCACCAAGGCGACGAUCCGUAGCUGGUCUGAGAGGAUGAUCAGCCACACUGGAACUGAGACACGGUCCAGACUCCUACGGGAGGCAGCAGUGGGGAAUAUUGGACAAUGGGCGCAAGCCUGAUCCAGCCAUACCGCGUGGGUGAAGAAGGCCUUCGGGUUGUAAAGCCCUUUUGUUGGGAAAGAAAAGCAGCAGGUUAAUACCACGCUGUUCUGACGGUACCCAAAGAAUAAGCACCGGCUAACUUCGUG
rnacentral:rRNA from 1 species